AGUAACGCGUGGGUAACCUGCCUCAUACAGGGGGAUAACAGUUAGAAAUGACUGCUAAUACCGCAUAAGCGCACAGAAUCGCAUGAUUCGGUGUGAAAAACUCCGGUGGUAUGAGAUGGACCCGCGUCUGAUUAGCUAGUUGGUGGGGUAAAGGCCUACCAAGGCGACGAUCAGUAGCCGACCUGAGAGGGUGAUCGGCCACAUUGGGACUGAGACACGGCCCAAACUCCUACGGGAGGCAGCAG
rnacentral:rRNA from 1 species